rnacentral:rRNA from 1 species
GACGAACGCUGGCGGCGUGCUUAACACAUGCAAGUCGAACGGAAAGGCCCUGCUUUUGUGGGGUGCUCGAGUGGCGAACGGGUGAGUAACACGUGAGUAACCUGCCCUUGACUUUGGGAUAACUUCAGGAAACUGGGGCUAAUACCGGAUAGGAGCUCCUGCUGCAUGGUGGGGGUUGGAAAGUUUGGGCGGUUGGGGAUGGACUCGCGGCUUAUCAGCUUGUUGGUGGGGUAGUGGCUUACCAAGGCUUUGACGGGUAGCCGGCCGGAGAGGGUGACCGGCCACAUUGGGACUGAGAUACGGCCCAGACUCCUACGGGAGGCAGCAGUGGGGAAUAUUGCACAAUGGGCGGAAGCCUGAUGCAGCAACGCCGCGUGCGGGAUGACGGCCUUCGGGUUGUAAACCGCUUUCGCCUGUGACGAAGCGUGAGUGACGGUAAUGGGUAAAGAAGCACCGGCUAACUACGUG